GUGAGGAAUAUUGCGCAAUGGAGGCAACUCUGACGCAGCCAUGCCGCGUGCAGGAAGAAGGCGCUACGCGUUGUAAACUGCUUUUAACCGGGAAGAAACCCCAGGACGUGUCCUGGGUUGACGGUACCGGAGGAAUAAGCACCGGCUAACUUCGUGCCAGCAGCCGCGGUAAUACGAAGGGUGCAAGCGUUAUCCGGAUUCAUUGGGUUUAAAGGGUGCGUAGGCGGAGCGUUAAGUCAGUGGUGAAAUCCUGCAGCUUAACUGUAGACUUGCCAUUGAUACUGGCGCUCUUGAGUGCGCUUGAAGUGGGCGGAAUGUGCCGUGUAGCGGUGAAAUGCUUAGAUAUGACACAGAACACCAAUUGCGAAGGCAGCUCACUAAGGCGAUACUGACGCUGAGGCACGAAAGCGUGGGGAUCGAACAGGAUUAGAUACCCUUGUAGUCC
rnacentral:rRNA from 1 species